rnacentral:rRNA from 1 species
UGGGGAAUAUUGCACAAUGGGCGCAAGCCUGAUGCAGCAACGCCGCGUGAACGAUGAAGGUCUUCGGAUCGUAAAGUUCUGUUGCAGGGGAAGAUAAUGACGGUACCCUGUGAGGAAGCCCCGGCUAAGUACGUGCCAGCAGCCGCGGUAAUACGUAGGGGGCUAGCGUUAUCCGGAUUUACUGGGCGUAAAGGGUGCGUAGGUGGUCCUUCAAGUCGGUGGUUAAAGGCUACGGCUCAACCGUAGUAAGCCGCCGAAACUGGAGGACUUGAGUGCAGGAGAGGAAAGUGGAAUUCCCAGUGUAGCGGUGAAAUGCGUAGAUAUUGGGAGGAACACCAGUAGCGAAGGCGGCUUUCUGGACUGCAACUGACACUGAGGCACGAAAGCGUGGGUAGCAAACAGG